rnacentral:misc_RNA from 1 species
AAGUCGUAACAAGGUUUCCGUAGGUGAACCUGCGGAAGGAUCAUUAACACGUAUCCAACGUUAAACCCCUGCUCCGGAAUCUUUUCAAACAGCAAUCUCAGUAAAUCAAUGUUGAACAGUUUUGAUUUGAGACCUCUGUUUGGAGAGUGAACGUUGAGACGGUUGAGAUAUCAUCAAAUGAAAUUGUGUAAGGAUAACGCUUCUCGGUCGCUGGAGGCCCACACGGUCGGCGGACAUGCCUCAUGGGCGCAAGCCCCUUUUUAACCCCACUAAACUUCUCCUUCCUUGUGGCGAAAGCCGCAGGUGCAAAAAACGAACAACUGUUAACAAUGGAUAUCUUGGUUUUC